UAUAUAUAAAUUUGUUUAAAACAAUUUUAUAUAAUUUUAUAUAAUCUCAAAAUUGUGUUAUCUCAUAUCUAAAAUUUGAAAUAAUUAAUUCGCGUAAUUGCUUAUUUCGAAAGCAUUGCAACGUAUAUAAGAUAUACAAUAUACUCAAAACAAAGAUGAUCUCAAAAACAUCCUUAAUGCAUCUCAGGUUACUUUUAUUUCUGACAAGCAUCCUGUCUUUCAAAAUCUUGCGCACUGUUUUGGUAUAUACUUCCGUUUUCAUCCAUCUAUUAAAUUAAAAUUAGAUUAACUUCAAAUAUUUAUGAUACAGAGAAAACAAAUUAUUAUAUUUUAAAAAUAAAUAUCGUAACUUAGACGUGUUCGUGUUACUUUCAACUAUCACGAUCGAUCCUAACCUCACUUUCGCCUCGUUCAGAAAAACAUCGUUGCUUUACAUUUCGUUUCGUAUAAAGGCUGCAUCGUGUUUUAUGAAGAAAAAAAAAGAAAGAAAAGAAAAGUUGAGAUUCUUUGAGAGCAAGAAGCACAACGUGUGGUGGACCGUUUGAUAUACAAACGAGAGGUGGGGCUGCUAGAAAGAAGAUACGAUCGAUCAUUCCGAAACGAUAGCUCUGAGACUUUAGUUACACGCAACACUUUGACACGUUGCAAAUGAGACGUCGCUGCAAAUGGUCAAUACCUACUUUUUUUCUUCUCUCUCUCUUUUCUUUCUUUCCCUCCUUCUAUUUCUUUCUUUUUUUUUUUUUUUUUUUUAAUCCUUACCGACGUGUUCCACUUAUCGAUUACCGAUCGAGUCUGUCCAUCGUGUCAACCUACCCGCACAGAAGUACAGAAUCCUGCAUUUCCUGUCUGACAGUGGAGGUCGGUAGCAAAUUCAGUAGCGUGGCACUAAAAGGGCUCGACGAUAAAUCACUUGGGCAAAUUCCUUAUAAAGCACUAAGUGCCGCGAGGCGUUUGAAAGGAUCGUGGGUCAGAACGCCGGGAGUUAAACGGAGAUUGUACGGUUUCGAGGAGGAAUAUAAGCUGGAUCAAGCAAAUUCUUUCCUGGAGAAGGCGAUUCUCCGAGAUUCGAAGGUUAAACCUAAGAUUCUCUCGUGAAUGAAUAUCUUUUUAUCAUAAUGAGAUUUUU